rnacentral:lncRNA from 1 species
CGGCCGCAAAGGGUACGAGUGACUGAGUUCGUGGAAGAUGACGAGAGAUUCAGAUGGGGUCUUUACCUCCACGCGUUCAAAUACCAAUUAAAAAUAAAAGUUGUGAUCAAAGUACACAACAGUGGUAGUAGUCCAGUGGUCUGUAAGGGUGGUUUACAUCACUUGGUCACUGGGAUGCCUGCGCCCCUUGUUUUCUUUGUUUUUUAUUUUUUUAAAUGUCCACUGGGAUGCCUGAAUUGUGCGGCCCAAUUAUCGUUCUUGCUGGCUAGGCUUCAGGCAGCCCAUGGAUCACUUUGCACAGGCUCUCAAAACAAAAUAUUUACGGUGGGCUGGGUUUUUAUGUUUAUUCUUUAAAUAUGCCGGUGGGCUUAAUUGCAUCAUCAACUUUUCUUUUAGCGCAACCAAGAAUAGUCUAAUAAAUUCACAUAAUUUAUUGGUGGCAAUAGAAGCUAAUUAAUGCAACGAUUUGUUUUCAGGAUGCAACAGGCACAUGAGCUAUCACAACGAAGGUUAAGUUUAAGACAACGUUAUUUCACCGUAGCCACAGGCGUGCAUAAUGGCAACCAAUGAAAUAUUCAUGGCAACAAACACCAAUCAAACGCAACGAAAUAUUUUCUGGAUGCAACAAGCACAAGAGCUAUCACAACAAAGAUUAAGUUUUAGACAACGUUAUUUCGUCG